AAACAGCGACGAUGACAACACAAAAAGCAAUUGCAAAAAAGUUUGUUUUUGCGUGAAAUUCUUUGGCUUCGCUACAAACGAUGAAACGAGGUAGCCAGCAUCAACGAAUAUAGCAGCGUCGCCGACUGGCAAUCGUGAUUGUGAGUUGGAGGGAAUUGGGAGUGAAUGUAUCUGUAUCGAAUGUUGAACACUCAAAGUGACUGUGCGCGCAAAUUGAACGCGUCAGUCAGAAUUUAACGGUACGCGCCUUCAGUUGUCAUUUGUAUUAUUAACCGUCGGCGGAAGUCGGAAGUUGGGGGAAAAAAAUAUCAUAGAAUUAAAAAAGAGGAGAAGAGGAAGAAAAUUUAAUUCAUAACUGUUAAUCGGAGAUUGUAUGUGAGACAGUGUUUUGAAUGGGAGGAAAAUUCCAUAUCAUAAUUAUGCAGUGAGAAAGCGUAUGAAAAGUAUAAGAUUAAAAAACAACUACAACAACAAUAUGUAACAAAUACGUUCAUACUGUGCUAAUUGGUGUAACAUACAUACAUACACGUAGUUAACGCAUAUCGUGGCUGCGAACUUUUAGCGAAGGAGUAGCAAAAAAAAGAAAAUUAACUGUUAAUAAGUAAAAUAAUAAUUUUUCAAUCAACAUACACACACACAUACAUACAUAUGGAUGGACAUGCCCGCACAUAUGCCAGCUUAUUUAUGUAUGUAUGCAAAUACCUAAAGCGGAGAUUCAUUAAAACAAUUUAAGCAGCGAGCAAAAGUGAAAAAAGAAACAACAUAAAAUAAUAAAAUAAAAUAUAAAAAAUUCAGCUACAAGUACUGAACUCGCUUUCGACGAGUCGCUCAGUGCUGUUAAUUUCGAUUUGAAAUUUCGUUUUUAAAUUUUAAUGCCUGUACGAAACGGCAAAAAAGUGACAGUGACUGUGACAAGUGACGCAACCAAACGUCAACAUUAAUAAACACAGCAAAUAUUUUCCUUUUACUCGCAUUUGAGAAUAAAAAGCGAAUCAUUCCAAAAAACAAAACAAAAAAAAAAGGCAAUUAGUGGAAAGGCAAAAAAAAACAGCGAAAAAAAGUUUGCAAAAAAAUCUCAGUAAAAUAUAACAGGUAUGUAAAAAAUCAAAGGUGCCAAUUCAAGGGAUCGCUCGCAUAUCUCUAAACUUAAGCGUAAGAAAUUACUAUUAUUGUUGUUAUUGUUAUUAUGGCAAAUUUUGUACACUAAGAUCACAAAAUAUUUUUGUUUUGCAAAACGCACGAUGGAGAGAAUAACAGUGUGAAUAGCGGUGUGACCAGAUUAGUAUUUUGGUAACUUUCGCAUUUUGUUUGUUCUAUACCCUCGGAGUGUUAGCUCUUUCUUCCUGGCAUUUUUCUAGCCUAUUCUAAUUAAAAUAUGAUGUUUAUAAUGAUGUAAAAUAUAAUUUUUUUUAAACCAAAAACCAAUUUCAAAAAUUUUGGGUAUAAAAAAGCACUAAAUUUAUUGCGAAGAGCAAAUGGUUGGCAACACUGCACGACUAGGCUAGUGUAACGGCACGCAUUGUCUGAUGGACGCAAUCUUGUUUCUAUCAGUUUUACAACAUACCUAGAAAUAUACAGGGUGUUAAAAAAUAAUGUAAAAUAUUUAAUGAAUAUGGACCCAAGGAAACAAAAAAAGUCCUACAAACAAUGAUAUGCAAAUUAAUAGGAGAAACCGGAUACCUCUGGGAAUGCCAGAUUUGCUAGUGAGUAUAAUCUUUCGUCCGCAAUAACAACAAUUGAAAUCACCGCUUUUACGAAGUGAAAGAAAUUAAAAUAACAAAAUCACGCAUGUGCUCAUAUUUUGUAAAAAAAAAAUUUCUUACUAAUUCAGAAAACGUUAAAACAGAAAACAGAUAUUUGUUGAAUUGUGGAGAACUAUAAGCAGAAAUGAACAAAGCGACGAAGAGGAUUUAUGGAUAAAACAAAGGUGACUAUUACGUCGCCAAGCGAUGCUGGACUACUACUAAAUUGGUCCAAAAAUUGUAUUGUAAAUGCCCUUAAGUCUAAAAAAUCCACAGAAUUUUGAUUCUUGCCAAGAGGGUUACUUUUAAGUCAUCAAAGCCCAUUGCAAGUGAAAUCAACAACGUAGUAUCAGCGAGAACUGUUCGGCGUCGAUGGUAACAACAUGAACCUACCAGGCAGAAGAGCUCGUAAAAUUCCUCUCUUGAAACAAGCCAAUUUAAGGAAGAACAAAAGAUUUGCUCAAGAGCACAAGUCAUGAUGUGGACCAGGGGGUAUGAAAAAAUGGUACAACAUACUUUGGAGCGUUGGAAUAAAAAUAAAUUUAUUUGGAAAUUAUGCUGGGCGAAAUAUAAGAAGUGCUAAAGGACAAGAUCUCACCGCGGUUCGCAAAAAAAAGUCAAACACGGUGGCGGCAACAUAAUGAUUUGGAGAUGCUUUUCUUCGAAUGGAGUAGGACCUAUUUAUCACAUCCAAAAAAAAAAAACAAAAAAACAAAAAUUGGAUGAUUAAUUUUGCGCCACCUUGUAUAUCUCAAAUAAAUUUGUGUGUUUUAAAAAGAUCUCCAUAAAUCAAAAUAUUUUUUUUAUUUGGUAAAACCGUUAUUCAAAAACAAAAUUGGAUGAUUAAGUUUGCGCCACCUCUGAUAUCUGAAAUAAAUUUUUGUGCUUUAAAAAGAUUUCCAUAACUCGAAGUCAUUUCUUUCUUUAAGUGAAAGAGUUAUUCAAAAACGAAAUUGGAUGAUUAAUUUUGCGCCACCUCUGAUAUCUCAAAUAAUUUUGUGUGUAUUAGAAAGAUCUCCAUAACUCAAAAUCAUGUUUUUCUUAUUUAGUAAAACACUUAUUCAAAAACAA